UGAUGAUAGUGAGGGUAAUUUCUGAGCAUACUCUUAAAUCUCUCCUAAGUUUGGUAGAGAUUUGCUCCUUUUUUCUACUUGAAACUCAGAUUCUCGCUUCUCAAUCG
rfam:Capsicum annuum cultivar Zunla-1 chromosome 3, whole genome shotgun sequence